rnacentral:rRNA from 1 species
CGCUAUUAGAUGAGCCUAUGUCAGAUUAGCUUGUUGGUGGGGUAAUGGCCUACCAAGGUGACGAUCUGUAGCUGGUCUGAGAGGAUGAUCAGCCACACUGGAACUGAGACACGGUCCAGACUCCUACGGGAGGCAGCAGUGGGGAAUAUUGGACAAUGGGCGCAAGCCUGAUCCAGCAAUACCGCGUGUGUGAAGAAGGCCUUAGGGUUGUAAAGCACUUUCAAUUGGGAGGAAUACUUGCCGGUCAAUACCCGGUAGAUUGACAUUACCUUUAGAAGAAGCACCGGCUAACUCCGUGCCAGCAGCCGCGGUAAUACGGAGGGUGCGAGCGUUAAUCGGAAUUACUGGGCGUAAAGAGUGCGUAGGCGGUUAUUUAAGUCAGAUGUGAAAGCCCCGGGC